AACGAACGCUGGCGGCAGGCCUAACACAUGCAAGUCGAGCGAAAAACCUUCUUCGGAAGGUGGAAAGCGGCGAACGGGUGAGUAACGCGUGGGAACAUACCUCAUGGUGGGGGACAACCGCUGGAAACGGCGGCUAAUACCGCAUAAGCCUCUAGAGGGAAAGAUUUAUCGCCAUGAGAGUGGCCCGCGUUGGAUUAGGUAGUUGGUGGGGUAACGGCCCACCAAGCUCGCGAUCCAUAGCUGGUCUUAGAGGAUGAUCAGCCACACUGGAACUUAGACACGGUCCAG
rnacentral:rRNA from 1 species